rnacentral:rRNA from 1 species
UACGUAGGUGGCAAGCGUUGUCCGGAAUUAUUGGGCGUAAAGCGCGCGCAGGUGGUUUCUUAAGUCUGAUGUGAAAGCCCACGGCUCAACCGUGGAGGGUCAUUGGAAACUGGGGAACUUGAGUGCAGGAGAGAAGAGUGGAAUUCCACGUGUAGCGGUGAAAUGCGUAGAGAUGUGGAGGAACACCAGUGGCGAAGGCGACUCUUUGGCCUGCAACUGACACUGAGGCGCGAAAGCGUGGGGAGCAAACAGG